GUUAAGCGACUAAGCGUACACGGUGGAUGCCCUGGCAGUCAGAGGCGAUGAAGGACGUGCUAAUCUGCGAAAAGCGUCGGUAAGGUGAUAUGAACCGUUAUAACCGGCGAUGUCCGAAUGGGGAAACCCAGUGCAAUUCGUUGCACUAUCGUUAACUGAAUACAUAGGUUAACGAGGCGAACCGGGGGAACUGAAACAUCUAAGUACCCCGAGGAAAAGAAAUCAACCGAGAUUCCCCCAGUAGCGGCGAGCGAACGGGGAGCAGCCCAGAGUCUGAAUCAGCUUGUGUGUUAGUGGAACGGUCUGGAAAGUCCGACGGUACAGGGUGAUAGUCCCGUACACCAAAAUGCACAGGCUGUGAACUCGAAGAGUAGGGCGGGACACGUGGUAUCCUGUCUGAAUAUGGGGGGACCAUCCUCCAAGGCUAAAUACUCCUGACUGACCGAUAGUGAACCAGUACCGUGAGGGAAAGGCGAAAAGAACCCCGGCGAGGGGAGUGAAAAAGAACCUGAAACCGUGUACGUACAAGCAGUGGGAGCACCUUCGGGUGUGACUGCGUACCUUUUGUAUAAUGGGUCAGCGACUUAUAUUCUGUAGCAAGGUUAACCGUAUAGGGGAGCCGCAGGGAAACCGAGUCUUAACUGGGCGUUAAGUUGCAGGGUAUAGACCCGAAACCCGGUGAUCUAGCCAUGGGCAGGUUGAAGGUUGGGUAACACUAACUGGAGGACCGAACCGACUAAUGUUGAAAAAUUAGCGGAUGACUUGUGGCUGGGGGUGAAAGGCCAAUCAAACCGGGAGAUAGCUGGUUCUCCCCGAAAGCUAUUUAGGUAGCGCCUCGUGAAUUCAUCUUCGGGGGUAGAGCACUGUUUCGGCUAGGGGGUCAUCCCGACUUACCAACCCGAUGCAAACUACGAAUACCGAAGAAUGUUAUCACGGGAGACACACGGCGGGUGCUAACGUCCGUCGUGAAGAGGGAAACAACCCAGACCGCCAGCUAAGGUCCCAAAGUCAUGGUUAAGUGGGAAACGAUGUGGGAAGGCACAGACAGCCAGGAUGUUGGCUUAGAAGCAGCCAUCAUUUAAAGAAAGCGUAAUAGCUCACUGGUCGAGUCGGCCUGCGCGGAAGAUGUAACGGGGCUAAACCAUGCACCGAAGCUGCGGCAGCGACACUAUGUGUUGUUGGGUAGGGGAGCGUUCUGUAAGCCUGCGAAGGUGACCUGUGAGGGUUGCUGGAGGUAUCAGAAGUGCGAAUGCUGACAUAAGUAACGAUAAAGCGGGUGAAAAGCCCGCUCGCCGGAAGACCAAGGGUUCCUGUCCAACGUUAAUCGGGGCAGGGUGAGUCGACCCCUAAGGCGAGGCCGAAAGGCGUAGUCGAUGGGAAACAGGUUAAUAUUCCUGUACUUGGUGUUACUGCGAAGGGGGGACGGAGAAGGCUAUGUUAGCCGGGCGACGGUUGUCCCGGUUUAAGCAUGUAGGCUGGUUGUCCAGGCAAAUCCGGAUAAUCAAGGCUGAGGUGUGAUGACGAGGCACUACGGUGCUGAAGUAACAAAUGCCCUGCUUCCAGGAAAAGCCUCUAAGCAUCAGGUAACAUCAAAUCGUACCCCAAACCGACACAGGUGGUCAGGUAGAGAAUACCAAGGCGCUUGAGAGAACUCGGGUGAAGGAACUAGGCAAAAUGGUGCCGUAACUUCGGGAGAAGG
rnacentral:rRNA from 1 species